CUUAAUGCAGAAUGAUUGCUGCCGUACUGAAAUCCGCAAGUCCUCUGACAAGGGCCUCUAACCAGAGUGGGUGCUAGUCCCAUAGCGGUGAUGGAGGUAAGGUACAAACUCUUGCAUGCUAGAGUCAGGUUGCUUGAGAGUGCAACCUAAAGUAGGUGGUAAACUCCACCUAAGGCUAAAUAUAACUGUGAGACCGAUAGCAAACAAGUACCGUGAGGGAAAGUUGCAAAGAACUUUGAAGAGAGAGUUCAAAAGGACGUGAAACCGCUUGUAGGAAAACAGAUGGACCCACGAAAGCAAUCAUCAGAUGUGGGAUUCAGUUGGCUCAAUUCAGUGCUUAAAAGCUCUUUCAAACUGUCUCUCCAUGAGAGUAGGAGAGCUUUUAUGUAUAUAUGCUGAAUUGACCAACGCAUUUCCUAUCAAUCUGAGUUGAAGCUCUGACUAGCUAGACAAAAAUGUGUUCGGCAAAAGUAAAACUUAAUUGCUAGCGAGGUAGCAUAAGAAAAGCUUUAUUGCUUUAUAUGCAUUAUACGCUGGUCAAUUAUUUGUUACUGCCACUGACACUGGCUUGCUAGGUGAAUUUCUCCACAAUUGUGGGGUAUUCAGAUGAACAAUCUUCUUAUGCAGCUCAUAUGCUAACUUCCCAAGCUAGUAAUCUAGUACUUUGUCUUAUUCGGUUGGGUUAACCAGUCGAAGCAAUUUACUAUGUAUUCGGCUUAAUAGUGGAGGAUAGCUAUGAUAGUCUGUAUAUUUGACAACAUCUAGAGNNNNNNNNNNNNNNNNNNNNNNNNNNNNNNNNNNNNNNNNNNNNAGGCCUGAAGGGCGAAAUUAAUGUAAAUGGUAUGAUCCUUGCUAGUCAGUACUACCUGUUUGUUUGUGUGUCGCCUCGGCGGNUCACAGUGACAAACUAGUAGUGCUACUACGGGCGCAAUACCGACCCUCUAUAUCUGCCUUUUGACAGUUUAGAGGCGUUUGAGCGCAUAUGUUGGUACCCGAAAGAUGGUGAUCUAUACUUGGGCAAGACGAAGCCAGAGGAAACUCUGGUGGAGGUCUGUAGCGAUUCUGACGUGCAAAUCGAUCGUCAGACCUGAGUAUAGGGGCGAAAGACUAAUCGAACCAUCUAGUAGCUGGUUCCCUCCGAAGUUUCCCUCAGGAUAGCUGGCACUAAUUUAAUUACUCUGUAGCAUCCGGUAAAGCGAAUGAUUAGAGGUAUUGGGGUCGAAACGACCUCAACCUAUUCUCAAACUUUAAAUGGGUGCGAAGCUUGACUUAUUUAAAUAAUAAAGCCAAGCGAGACCAUUGUAAGAAAAUAGUGCCUAGUGGGCCAUUUUUGGUAAGCAGAACUGGCGCUGUGGAUGAACCAAACGCUGGGUUAAGGCGCCCGAUGCUGACGCUCAUGAGAUCCCAUGAAAGGUGUUGGUUGCUAUAGACAGCAGGACGGUGGCCAUGGAAGUUGGAAUCCGCUAAGGAGUGUGUAACAACUCACCUGCCGAAGCAACUAGCCCUGAAAAUGGAUGGCGCUGAAGCGUUGAGCCUAUACCCAGCCAUAGGUGCAAUCUUCUUUUACACCAAAAAGAAGCACCUAUGAGUAGGAGGGACGCAGUGAUAGCGUAGAAGGUGUCGGGCGUAGGCCCGCCUGGAGCUUUCACUGAUGCAGAUCUUGGUGGUAGUAGCAAAUACUCAAGUGAGACCCUUGAGGACCAAUGUGGAGAAGGGUUCCAUGUGAACAGCAGUUGAACAUGGGUCAGUCGGCCCUAAGGAAUGCGGAGAAAUCCGUAGUCAAGGUCCUUGGUAAAUAGUUGUUCUCUACUCUAUUAACCUAAGGUGCUGAGGCGUAUUCCGAAAGGGAAUUGGGUUAAUAUUCCCAAACCUAGACACGGAGAUUGACCUUCGGGUCAGAUGCGGUAACGCAAUCGAUCCUAGAGAUGUCGACAAGAGCCUCGGGGAGAGUUGUCUUUUCUUUGUAAGGAGCCUAAUCCCUGGAAUCGGUUUGACCGGAGAUAGGGACGAAGGCACCGAAAAGCACUGCGGCUCUUGCAGUGUCCGAUGCGCUCUUGUCGGCCCUUGAAAAUCUAGGUGAGAAGUAAUAAUUUUCGUGCUAGGCCGUACCCAUAUCCGCAGCAGGUCUCCAAGGUGAACAGCCUCUGGUCGCUAGAAUAAUGUAGGUAAGGGAAGUCGGCAAAGUCGAUUCGUAACUUCGGGACAAGAAUUGGCUCUGAGGACUGAGUUGGUCGGGCUGCUGUCUGAAGUAAGAUUUGCACUCUGCCGAGACUGGCCAGAUGGAAGGGCAGUCCUAGAUUGAGAGCCCAUAAAGUCGCAUUUUAUUAAGUCUUAGCAAUGCGCCCAGUGCUGAACUAGAGUACUUUCUUCCCCCGAAAGGGGGUUUGAAGGGAAAUAGCACUUAGCACUGCCGUGCAUUGCUAUGGCGAAACGUAAAGUGAUGAUCUUUAUGGAACCAGCUCUCCUUUUAGGCUCGCCUGGAAGCCUGUUCGGACUUGUG
rnacentral:rRNA from 1 species